rnacentral:rRNA from 1 species
AGUGGGGAAUAUUGCACAAUGGGCGGAAGCCUGAUGCAGCAACGCCGCGUGCGGGAUGACGGCCUUCGGGUUGUAAACCGCUUUCGCCUGUGACGAAGCGUGAGUGACGGUAAUGGGUAAAGAAGCACCGGCUAACUACGUGCCAGCAGCCGCGGUGAUACGUAGGGUGCGAGCGUUGUCCGGAUUUAUUGGGCGUAAAGGGCUCGUAGGUGGUUGAUCGCGUCGGAAGUGUAAUCUUGGGGCUUAACCCUGAGCGUGCUUUCGAUACGGGUUGACUUGAGGAAGGUAGGGGAGAAUGGAAUUCCUGGUGGAGCGGUGGAAUGCGCAGAUAUCAGGAGGAACACCAGUGGCGAAGGCGGUUCUCUGGGCCUUUCCUGACGCUGAGGAGCGAAAGCGUGGGGAGCGAACAGGCUUAGAUACCCUGGUAGUCCACGCUGUAAACGGUGGGUACUAGGUGUGGGGUCCAUUCCACGGGUUCC